ensembl:lncRNA novel transcript
UGAGAAGAAAAGAAGCUUGCUCAAGGUCACAUAGAGCUGGAAUUUAAAUUCAGAUCUAUUAUACUCUUAAGGACUGUGGAAGGAGCAAAAUCUGAUCCAGAGACUGUGGAUGCUGGAGGAGCGUCAAGGCUGGGAAAGUAACAUGCACUGUGUUCGCAAUCAACAGAAAAGAUAUUUUUAAACAAAAACAAUUUUCCAAGUUUCCAGGAAGAGAAACAAAAGGCUUUUCUAAAAUGAAAGAAACUGUUCUUCUCAUUCUGUGACUUUUAUGUCACUUGGACAACAAGCCAGUGCUUAGGAACGGUUAUUUUCCUGUCGACAUCGCUGCAUGGAUACUUCUUAGAAGAACAUAACAGCAUUAGCACUCAGUCCCAGGUUCUGCUCACCCUCCAAUGGCAGUCGUCUUCAAAAACAAUAAAGAUAUCUGUGCUUGGUCUCUCUGUCUUGAUUACACUGCAGGCACAACCUGUGUGGGGAAACAAUAUCCUGGAUCAUACUGAAGGUUCGCACAGAUGGAACAUUAGUGGGAGGGGUUGCCAGCUACUUCCCUGCCAACUUGUUAGUGCUGGAGACAUUAUCCUCUUAUUUUGCCAGUUUAACAGAAGAUCAGUCGUAAAGAUUCACUGUAGGCUCAGCAACAUAAUUAUUAUCUAUGGUCUCUGCAUUAACUGUGAGAAAACAUCAUAGUCUGAAUCUGCCUAAUUUCAAAUGCCAAGCUGUGCCCACAUUCAGCCCACAACUGAACCUGAAUACUCAAUAUAUCCUUAGCAUUGCUACUGUUGUCAUCAUGGUGGAUGUUAAGUACAGGUUUGCCCAAGCUAUGAUGUUUAAUUGUUGCCUUACUGCUUCUGUAUUUCUUCUGUUUCCCUGACCCUUUUCAACACCAGCCCCAUGCAAUUUAAAACUAUUAAAAAGGUAAAAAUCGG